AGCGAACGUUAGCGGCGGGCCUAACACAUGCAAGUCGAGCGAGAAAGUGGCUUCGGCCAUCAGUAAAGCGGCGGACGGGUGAGUAACACGUAGGUAAUCUUCCCUUGAGCGGGGGACAACGAGCCGAAAGGCUCGCUAAUACCGCAUACGUUUCCAGAGGCCCCGGCCUUUGGAAGGAAAGCCAGGCAGCAAUGUCCGGCACUCGAGGCGGAGCCUGCGUCGCAUCAGCUAGUUGGUGGGGUAACGGCCUACCAAGGCGAAGACGCGUAGCUGGUCUGAGAGGAUGAUCAGCCACACUGGGACUGAGACACGGCCCAGACUCCUACGGGAGGCAGCAGUGGGGAAUAUUGGACAAUGGGCGCAAGCCUGAUCCAGCCACGCCGCGUGAGUGAUGAAGGCCUUCGGGUCGUAAAGCUCCGUGGGGAGGGACGAACCGCUGCAGGUUCAUAGCCUGCAGCAUGACGGUACCUCCUUAGCAAGCACCGGCUAACUUCGUGCCAGCAGCCGCCGUAAAAC
rnacentral:rRNA from 1 species